CGGGGCCCGUUUUGAAGCAUCAUAGUCACUUCUUGAUCCAUCUUUGUCAGUCUUGAACAAACUUGGUAUACAUAGCAGUUACAGCCAUCAUUGGCAUCAGGUUUAAAAUUGGGACCAAAUUUUUAAAAUGUU